rnacentral:sRNA from 1 species
GUUUGAAGCUGAGGAUUUUCCGUCUUUAAAUCCUGAAUAUGAGAGAGAACCAAAUCACAAUAAGUCUUUAGCUGCAGGUGUGUGGGGCCUACACGCCCAGACACACACAUACCCAACCAAAAAAAUCUCCCAAGCUCCUCUCUUAGGUAUGUUUCCUUAUUAUUCAGUUUUUCUGGGAACAACUGAUUGCAUAAGAAUAUAGAACCACCUGGAAGGUGUUAAAUAGAAUCUCUAAGAAAUUAGGAAUAAUUUGGAUUUGAUUAGAAUGAAAGUUUUAAAAGUCAAGAAUGCCAGUGAGCGUUUGUCAUAUAAAACUAUCUAUAGAUACUAUUGGUACUGAUCCUGGGUUGAUUUAAUAAUCUUAGAAAUGAUUUAGAGACAAAGACAUAUUUGAAAAUAAUGAGAGUAAAAUGUAUUAAUAUGAAGAUUUUGGUUCUACUGUUUCAGGGUUGGUCUAAGGAUU